UCAGAGUUUAUCUGGCUCAGGAUGAACGCUAGCGGCAGGCUUAACACAUGCAAGUCGAGGGGCAGCGGGGUGUAGCAAUACACUGCCGGCGACCGGCGCACGGGUGCGUAACGCGUAUGCAACCUACCCAUAACAGGGGCAUAACACUGAGAAAUUGGUACUAAUUCCCCAUAACAUUCGAAGAGGCAUCUCUUUGGGUUGAAAACUCCGGUGGUUAUGGAUGGGCAUGCGUUGUAUUAGCUAGUUGGUGGGGUAACGG
rnacentral:rRNA from 1 species